GACAGCCUGUGUGUCUCGACCAGGAUCUCUCUGCUGCUCCGCUCCCCGUCAGAGUCCUGAAACCAAAGCAGGAGGAUUUAAUGAUGGGAGGACACCCUGAGUGCUGCCUGGCUCCUGAAGCAACAUGGGAAGCUACAGGCAGAAGCUGUGACCCAGAAAUGCUGCCUUCCUUGCUGGGACCCUGUGUCUUCCCCCUCCCACCUGCUGGGCUGCCUGACCUUUUCAGAUGUUGCACGUGCUGCUUCUCUUCUACAAAGCCUGCCAUGCUCACAGAAGGCUUGUUCCAAGCCAAGAUUCACCGAGGUCCUAAUGCUGAACCACUUCUCACUUCCUGUAACGGCUC